GAUGAACGCUGGCGGCGUGCCUAAUACAUGCAAGUCGAGCGAACGGACGCGAAGCUUGCUUCUCUGAUGUUAGCGGCGGACGGGUGAGUAACACGUGGAUAACCUACCUAUAAGACUGGGAUAACUUCGGGAAACCGGAGCUAAUACCGGAUGAUAUUUUGAACCGCAUGGUUCAAAAGUGAAAGACGGUCUUGCUGUCACUUAUAGAUGGAUCCGCGCUGCAUUAGCUAGUUGGUAAGGUAACGGCUUACCAAGGCAACGAUGCAUAGCCGACCUGAGAGGGUGAUCGGCCACACUGGAACUGAGACACGGUCCAGACUCCUACGGGAGGCAGCAGUAGGGAAUCUUCCGCAAUGGGCGAAAGCCUGACGGAGCAACGCCGCGUGAGUGAUGAAGGUCUUCGGAUCGUAAAACUCUGUUAUUAGGGAAGAACAUAUGUGUAAGUAACUGUGCACAUCUUGACGGUACCUAAUCAGAAAGCCACGGCUAACUACGUG
rnacentral:rRNA from 1 species